UUCCAUCAUAUCAUGUUAACCAGCUACUUGAUAUUCAACAGCCUGCUUUACAUUUUCACCGACACGUACCGAACUGAUAAGGCGCGUGGGCCCCAGGUGUCAUACCGGAAGAUUGAAUUUCCAUUGUUAAUGCGCCUACCGUUCGUAAAACCGUUUCCAAGACUUUAGUGCCUUUUGUCUGUGAUGAUUUGUUGGAAACUGGGUGAAUAAAAGGGAAGGCAUAUUCAGUUUGUUUAUCAGUGUGGAGCUAGAUCAUAUAAUUUCACUAUGAGAACAACUUGGAUGCUGCUGCUGCUGGGUCAACUGGCCUUGGGGCAGCAAAACAGUAAUUUCUGUUUGAAAGGAUUCGAAAAAGUGCUCGAGUAUGACAAGUGCGAUUACUAUGCAUUCGGACCUCUUUUUAUGAGCUCCUAUUGUAACUGGCAGCAUCAGCUUGAGUACGGCAUUACCAAAACAUUUUGUUGCGGUGGGAUUUGUGCUUACUGUUUCGAGCAGAUCGAUAACAUCGAUAGUGACAGUAGCGAUAACUCCGAAAGUGCAGAUAUAAACUUAACAACAGUGCUUCCAGAUGAUUACGGAAGAAGCUUCGAUGUAUCGAGAGAACAAUUCAAAUUUGAAGAAAUUAUGACCACAAGGCUCAAACGUAUGAUGAACAAGUUUUUCCACAAAAACAAUACUAUUGAACAUUAAUUACUUCACACAAUAACAAAAACAUAGAGAGAAAUAUUGUUCAAAAAUGACGUACUAGAGAGUUUGAAUAUAAAAAUUCAAAAAUUGUAUGAUUAUGACGUAAUGGGAAUUAAAAACUGUAAAUAAAUAAAGUCGUUAUAUUCUAAUCAUCUGUAUUUUUCUUUGCGUCUAAGCAUAGUUUAGUUUAUAAAAGAAUACGAUGUGUAACAUUUGUCUUAAAAAUGAAUAAACCAUAUUAAUAACCAAAAA